AUUGAACGCUGGCGGCAGGCCUAACACAUGCAAGUCGAGCGGAUGAAGCGAGCUUGCUCCUGGAUUCAGCGGCGGCCGGGUGAGUAAUGCCUAGGAAUCUGCCUGGUAUUGGGGGAUAACGUCCGGAUACGGGCGCUAAUACCGCAUACGUCCUGUGGGAGAAAUUGGGGGAUCUUCGGACCUCUCGCUUUCAGAUGAGCAUAGGUCGGAUUCGCUAGUUGGUGGGGUAAAGGCCUACCAAGGCGUUGAUCCGUAACUGGUCUGAGAGGAUGACCAGUCACACUGGAAGUGAGAAACGGCCCAGACACCUACGGGAGGCAGCAGUGGGGAAUAUUGGACAAUGGGCGAAAGCCUGAUCCAGCCAUGCCGCGUGUGUGAAGAAGGUCUUCGGAUUGUAAAGCACUUUAAGUUGGGAGGAAGGGCAGUAAGUUAAUACCUUGCUGUUAUGACGGUACCAACAGAAGAAGCACCGGCUAACUUCGUG
rnacentral:rRNA from 1 species